UAGAGUUUGAUCCUGGCUCAGGAUGAACGCUAGCUACAGGCUUAACACAUGCAAGUCGAGGGGAAACGACAUCGAAAGCUUGCUUUUGAUGGGCGUCGACCGGCGCACGGGUGAGUAACGCGUAUCCAACCUGCCCACCACUUGGGGAUAACCUUGCGAAAGUAAGACUAAUACCCAAUGACGUCUCUAGAAGACAUCUGAAAGAGAUUAAAGAUUUAUCGGUGAUGGAUGGGGAUGCGUCUGAUUAGCUUGUUGGCGGGGUAACGGCCCACCAAGGCAACGAUCAGUAGGGGUUCUGAGAGGAAGGUCCCCCACAUUGGAACUGAGACACGGUCCAAACUCCUACGGGAGGCAGCAGUGAGGAAUAUUGGUCAAUGGACGAGAGUCUGAACCAGCCAAGUAGCGUGCAGGAUGACGGCCCUAUGGGUUGUAAACUGCUUUUAUAAGGGAAUAAAGUGAGUCUCGUGAGACUUUUUGCAUGUACCUUAUGAAUAAGGACCGGCUAAUUCCGUGCCAGCAGCCGCGGUAAUACGGAAGGUCCGGGCGUUAUCCGGAUUUAUUGGGUUUAAAGGGAGCGUAGGCCGGAGAUUAAGCGUGUUGUGAAAUGUAGAUGCUCAACAUCUGCACUGCAGCGCGAACUGGUUUCCUUGAGUACGCACAAAGUGGGCGGAAUUCGUGGUGUAGCGGUGAAAUGCUUAGAUAUCACGAAGAACUCCGAUUGCGAAGGCAGCUCACUGGAGCGCAACUGACGCUGAAGCUCGAAAGUGCGGGUAUCGAACAGGAUUAGAUACCCUGGUAGUCCGCACGGUAAACGAUGGAUGCCCGCUGUUGGUCUGAAUAGGUCAGCGGCCAAGCGAAAGCAUUAAGCAUCCCACCUGGGGAGUACGCCGGCAACGGUGAAACUCA
rnacentral:rRNA from 1 species